CCUACGGGUGGCAGCAGUGAGGAAUAUUGGUCAAUGGGCGUGAGCCUGAACCAGCCAAGUCGCGUGAGGGAUGAAGGUUCUAUGGAUCGUAAACCUCUUUUAUCGGGGAGUAAAGUGCGGCACGUGUCCUGUUUUGUAUGUACCUUAUGAAUAAGCAUCGGCUAACUCCGUGCCAGCAGCCGCGGUAAUACGGAGGAUCCGAGCGUUAUCCGGAUUUAUUGGGUUUAAAGGGUGCGUCGGCGGCCUGUUAAGUCAGCGGUUAAAGUCGGGGGCUCAACCAUAGAAUUGCCGUUGAAACUGGGAGGCUUGAGUAUGUGAGAGGCAGGCGGAAUGCGUGGUGUAGCGGUGAAAUGCUUAGAUAUCACGCAGAACCCCGAUUGCGAAGGCAGCCUGCCGAGGCAUGACUGACGCUGAUGCACGAAAGCGUGGGGAUCAAACAGGAUUAGAUACCCUUGUAGUC
rnacentral:rRNA from 1 species